rnacentral:lncRNA from 1 species
GUAAUGAGAAGUUAAUUGCCAGGCUUUGAUACAUUUGGAUGGGGUUUGUAUUUUGUUAUCUUUUGUACUUCAGGCAACGUUACUUAUCUUAAAAUUGAUUGUAGAAUGCCUUAAAUGUAUCUGCAGUGGCUUAUUGUUCUUUUAAUAAUAAUUAAAGUGUUCUUUAAUAAUCACUCUUUUGUAAUAGGUAUCUCUCUUGUCACAGAUAGCUUCUGUGAUCCGGAAACUCCUAUCUCCUCUGGGAGCUAACGUUAAUUUUUGCAGCUGUCUUGUUAUCCAGCAGUAUUCUUUGUUUUGCUUUAACACAGCCACCCAGGAGUAUUUAUUAAGCACUGCACAGUUUAACUGCCUAUAAAGAUUAGGCCCAGGCUAUUUACUUACUGGGUUGGUUAAAAUUGGCAAUUGGGAUAAUAGUCUUCCCUUUCCAAUGGCUGGUGCAGCUGGCACAUUUCCUGCCAGGUUGAAAAAUAUCAGUGCACUGUUUAAUAUGUCUCUUUGAAGAGAAAUCUGAAGCCAGGGAAUGCAAAUGGAAGCCUGCUCACUGUUUGUUUUUUAUCAGUGUGUUGUACAGAGCGAAUGGCCUCGGACCUUCAAUGGCUGUGCACUGCUUUCUCAGGACUUUCCCUCAAAGGGAAGAACUGACCCUUAUCUCUUUCCCUUUUCUCCACCAUUAGAGCUCAGAGAUCCCAAGAGGCAAAGCGGGGAAAGUUUUAGAAAUCAUUUCACUCUGGAAAGCUUUCAGAUCACAGAUUCCUGCUCAUAAGUGGAUAAAUGAUGCAGUAAAAUUGAACAAACACAGCUCGUCCUACAUUCUGAAGAUGGGGCACAUUUAUCAGAAGAGAAAAACUGCCAGAGAGAAUUCACAUCAGUGCAGACCGAGAGUCUCAGAUGGCUAAGAGAUGUGCCUGACAACUUUUCAGAAAUAAGACUAUUAAAAGAAGGUCAGCUUGGAGUCUUACUGCGAAGAAUUAUAAACAGGCACGUGGAUUAUAAAUAGGGAGUUGGCAUGGUGGUUAAAUUUUUCUAAAACAGUCAUAUUAAUGUGUUCAAAAAUCCACUGCUGAGUCUCAGAGAGAGGGUCACAUCUGGCCAUGAAAAUCUUCUUCUCUGCGGGGUUGCAAUCCAUGCAGCUGUUGCUCACAGGAUGGAAUAAUGUUCUGUCCUGGAGGAGUGAGGAAGAAAAGAAAAGACUGUUGUAAUACGUGGUGAAUGGUUACAACCCAAAAUAUACAGAAGUAAGAUAUUUCUGUUUAUAUUUCAGUAUAUAUUUAUUGUGUAAAUAGAACAGCUCCCAAAUCAAACAAUAGCAGGUGGAGUUGCCCAUGUGGAAUGUGAAUUUGUAGGCUGUAUUGGCACUAUGUAGGGCCUACAAGCAGGUUCAAUUAGAGACAAUAAAUGUAUUUAUUCAUUCAAUCAUCCACUUCUUUUAAAAAAGCAAUCCAUUCAUUUUCUGCUCUGUGGUGAGCUUUUUGCUAUCUGCUUAAAUUUUGAAAAUAGUAAGUAUAUGGGGUUGCUUGGCAAGUAACCAAUAAUGUAGCUAUCUGGGAAGAAACACAUACACAAAAAAUUGUAUUUUAGUCCGCAGUAAAUAAUACCCCCUGCUCACACGCACACACAAUGACUAGAAGAGUCAUAAUUCCCU